rnacentral:lncRNA from 1 species
UACACUACCUGCUGCACAGCGAAGAAAACUAAGACCACUCCUGAGAAUCUCGUGCCCAGUGAUAAGACCGCGAGAAAGCCGACAGCGGCAGCAUGCGCGGCUGAGGAGGUGCCGGUGGCGGAGAAACCCACUGCCCCGGAGGAGGACGUGCCCCCGCAGCCCGAGCCCGAGCCGGAAAAGGUAGCGACGCCGACUGAAAUAGAAGGGCUGUUAGUGGAAGACAAGCUACAGCUAACUCUAUCAAAGAUGGCGACAAGAAAGAUGAAAGAAAGAGAGAUGGAUUUCUUUGAAGGAGAUUGCUUCUAAUGCUAUUGCUACAAAGAAAGGAAAAAGUGAAGAGUGGUGUUGCUGUUCACA